UACGUAGGUGGCAAGCGUUUACUCGGAAUCACUAGGCGUAAAGCGCGGGUAGGCGGUUGGGUAAGUCUCUUGUGAAAGCUCCCGGCUUAACUGGGAGAGGUCAAGGGAAACUACCUGGCUAGAGUGCGGUAGAGGAAGCUGGAAUUCCUGGUGUAGCGGUGAAAUGCGUAGAUAUCAGGAGGAACACCUAUGGCGAAAGCAGGCUUCUGGACCGUCACUGACGCUGAUCCGCGAAAGCCUAGGGGAGCAAACAGG
rnacentral:rRNA from 1 species